GACGAACGCUGGCGGCGUGCUUAACACAUGCAAGUCGAACGGAAAGGCCCUGCUUUUGGGGGGUGCUCGAGUGGCGAAAGGGUGAGUAACACGUGAGUAACCUGCCCUGGACUUUGGGAUAACUUCAGGGAACUGGGGCUAAUACCGGAUAGGAGAUCCCGCUGCAGGGUGGGGGGCAGAAAGUUUCGGCGGAUGGGGCUGGACUCGCGGCUUAUCAGCUUGUUGGUGGGGUAGUGGCCUACCAAGGCUUUGACGGGUAGCCGGCCUGAGAGGGUGACCGGCCACACUGGGACUGAGGUACGGCCCCGACUCCUACGGGAGGCAGCAGUGGGGAAUAUUGCACGAUGGGCGGAAGCCUGAUGCAGCAACGCCGCGUGCGGGAUGACGGCCUUCGGGUUGUAGACCGCUUUCGCCUGUGACGAAGCGUGAGUGACGGUAAUGUGUCAAGAAGCACCGGCUAACUACGUG
rnacentral:rRNA from 1 species